CCUACGGGAGGCAGCAGUGGGGAAUAUUGCGCAAUGGGCGAAAGCCUGACGCAGCGACGCCGCGUGAGGGAUGAAGGUCUUCGGAUCGUAAACCUCUGUCAGCAGGGAAGAAAGGUCACUGUGCUAAUCAGCAGUGAAUUGACGGUACCUGCAAAGGAAGCACCGGCUAACUCCGUGCCUGCAGCCGCGGUAAUACGGAGGGUGCGAGUGUGAGUCGGAAUUACUGGGCGUAAAGCGCUCGUAGGCGGUAUGUCAAGUCAAGGGUGAAAUCCCCGCGCUCAACGUGGGAACUGCCUUUGAAACUGGCAAACUUGAGUGUGUGAGAAGAUAGUGGAAUUCCAGGUGUAGGAGUGAAAUCCGUAGAUAUCUGGAGGAACAUCAGUGGCGAAGGCGACUAUCUGGCACAUAACUGACGCUGAGGAGCGAAAGCGUGGGUAGCAAACAGGAUUAGAUACCCGAGUAGUC
rnacentral:rRNA from 1 species